GCGGGCUCUGUGAGGAAGUGGAUGCGGGAAGUGAGGGUUUGCCUCACCGGGAGCAGUUGCCGCGGAGGCCGCGGGGGCGCCCGGCGCGGAGGGCGGGCUCUGGUGAAGCCGGGUCGGGCACCGCCCCUGCUGGCGGAGCCUGUGCUGCCGGACCUCUAGGGCCAGUCGGCCCAGUCCGCUCCCUCGGGGCUCCUGCGGCUUCCUGAGGACUCGGCUCCCGGGCUUCGGCCAGAAACCUACCCUGUCUCUAACUGUUUAAGCGCUGAAGGGCCUGUGGCUGAAAACCGGCAUCUCAGAGCCAUCCCCUUCAUCAAGUCCACCUGUCCAGGUUCUAACUCCAAGACCUUUUCACAAUCCUGAAAAGCACUAUUCCAGUUCUGUAAUUUGAUUUCUGCUUGAGCUCGAUUGUUAUAGGCAACUACAGUGGGAAGCGCUGAUAUGCUCCUAGAAAAGAAACAGUUACUGGCAACAAGCAAGCCUAAGGUAAACAUAAGAAUGUAGAGAAA